rnacentral:rRNA from 1 species
GAUGAACGCUAGCGGCAGGCCUAAUACAUGCAAGUCGAACGGUGUCUUCGGACAUAGUGGCGCACGGGUGCGUAACACGUAUGCAACCUACCUUACAUUGGGGGAUAGCCUUUCGAAAGGGAGAUUAAUACCGCAUAAGACAGUAGCUGGGCAUCCAGCAGCUGUUAAAGAUUUAUCGAUGUAAGCUGGGCAUGCGUCCAAUUAGCUAGUUGGUGAGGUAACGGCUCACCAAGGCAAUGAUUGGUAGGGGAACUGAGAGGUCAAUCCCCCACACUGGCACUGAGAUACGGGCCAGACUCCUACGGGAGGCAGCAGUAGGGAAUACUGGGCAAUGGGCGCAAGCCUGACCCAGCCAUGCCGCGUGCAGGAAGAAGGCGUUAUGCGUUGUAAACUGCUUUUAUACAGGAAGAAACGACCCUUGCGAGGGGCAUUGACGGUACUGUAUGAAUAAGCACCGGCUAACUCCGUGCCAGCCGCCGCCGUAACAC